GAUGAACGCUGGCGGCGUGCCUAAUACAUGCAAGUCGAGCGAAUGGAUUAAGAGCUUGCUCUUAUGAAGUUAGCGGCGGACGGGUGAGUAACACGUGGGUAACCUGCCCAUAAGACUGGGAUAACUCCGGGAAACCGGGGCUGAUACCGGAUAACAUUUUGAACCGCAUGGUUCGAAAUUGAACGGCGGCUUCGGGUGUCACUUAUGGAUGGACCCGCGUCGCAUUAGCUAGUUGGUGAGGUAACGGCUCACCAAGGCAACGAUGCGUAGCCGACCUGAGAGGGUGAUCGGCCACACUGGGACUGAGACACGGCCCAGACUCCUACGGGAGGCAGCAGUAGGGAAUCUUCCGCAAUGGACGAAAGUCUGACGGAGCAACGCCGCGUGAGUGAUGAAGGCUUUCGGGUCGUAAAACUCUGUUGUUAGGGAAGAACAAGUGCUAGUUGAAUAAGCUGGCACCUUGACGGUACCUAACCAGAAAGCCACGGCUAACUACGUGCCAGCCGCCGCGGUAA
rnacentral:rRNA from 1 species